rnacentral:rRNA from 1 species
CCUACGGGAGGCAGCAGUGGGGAAUAUUGCACAAUGGGGGGAACCCUGAUGCAGCGACGCCGCGUGAGUGAAGGAGUCAUUCGGGAGGUAAAGCUCUAUCAGCAGGGAAGAAAAUGACGGUACCUGAGUAAGACGCCACGGCUAACUACGUUCCAGCAGCCGCGGUACUACGUAGGGGGCAAGCGUUAUCCGGGUUUACUGGGUUUAAGGGGAGCGUAGACGGCAGGGGAAGCCGGGAGUGAAGGGCCGGGGCCCACCCCCAGGACUGCUAUUGAAACUGCACGGCUGGAGUGCAGGAGGGGUAAGCGGAAUGCCUGGUGUAGCGGUGAAAUGCGUAGAUAUCAGGAGGAACACCAGUGGCGAAGGCGGCUUACUGGACUGCAACUGACGUUGAGGCUCGAAAGCGUGGGGAGCAAACAGGAUUAGAUACCCUUGUAGUC